rnacentral:rRNA from 1 species
CGGGUGAGUAACACGUGAGUGACCUGCCUUUUAGACUGGAACAACUUACCGAAAGGUGAGCUAAUGCCGGAUGAGUUAUAUAAGUGCAUGUUUAUAUAGGAAAAGUUGGGAGACCUGACGCUGAAAGAUGGACUCGCGUCCCAUUAGCUAGUUGGUAGGGUAAUAGCCUACCAAGGCGACGAUGGGUAGCCGGCCUGAGAGGGUGGCCGGCCACACUGGGACUGAGACACGGCCCAGACUCCUACGGAAGGCAGCAG